CGGGAAUUUUGCAUGUGUACAUUGUUGGUUCCGUGAACGUCAAAUGCCGUAAGUGACUUGUAAAAACGCUGGUUGAAAUACUGGAGCUGUUGUAGACAGUGUCGCUUGGAUGCCUUUCAGCGGUUAUCAUGUCCCUGACAGUGCUUUCCAACCACAAGGAAGUAGAAAAUGUACUGAAUCCACAGUCAGUUGAAAACUGGGAGAUACAUUCAAAUCUUAAUCUGCCAAAACUAGUCUCAGUCCUCAAGAAAUUUGCUUUUCAUCUGGAAGAACUGAACCAGAAUAAUAUCUUGCAUAAUGAAAUAGUUCAACUUUCUCCCUUAUUUCUUAAGUUGUUUGGUGAUGAUUUUGUAAACCACUCCAGCAGAAAAGUGAAAGUGCUUGUUGCUGCAUGUAUUGCAUACUUGUUACCAGGAUGUAUUCAGAUGCUCACAUCUUCAGAUCAUU